GAUGAAGAACGCAGCGAAAUGCGAUAAGUAAUGUGAAUUGCAGAAUUCAGUGAAUCAUCGAAUCUUUGAACGCACAUUGCGCCCCUUGGUAUUCCGGGGGGCAUGCCUGUUCGAGCGUCAUUAUAACCCCUCAAGCUCAGCUUGGUGUUGGGGCCUGCCGACUGGCAGCCCUUAAAAUCAGUGGCGGCGCCAUCUGGCUCUAAGCGUAGUAAUUUCUCUCGCUAUAGAGUCCCGGUGGAUGCUUGCCAGUAACCCCCAACUUUCUAUGGUUGACCUCGGAUCAGGUAGGGAUACCCGCUGAACUUAAGCAUAUCAAUAAGCGGAGGA
rnacentral:misc_RNA from 1 species